rnacentral:misc_RNA from 1 species
GUAACAUAGGUUAAGUGUACAUUGUAAGUAGAACAUAAGUGUACAUAUAUGGUAACUAGGAAAUAAGUGUACAUAUAUGAUAACUAGGCAAAUAAGUGUAAAUAUAGACAUAGAUAAGAAAAAUAAUAAUGUUAGAAAUUAGGAAGCAAUUAUGUGUAUACUUCUGCAUAAACAGUAUUUAGUAAGGAAAAAAGAAAAAAAAAAAAAAAAAAAAAAAAAAAAAAAAAAAAAAAAAAAAAAAAAAAAAAAAAAAACCCCCGUGGAUCAAAAUUUAAAAAAAAAAAAAAAAAAAAAAAAAAAAAUAAAAAAAAAAACACAAAA